UGCAGUAUAGAGGAGUGGUAACCUCGUGAGACUCAUUAUCUCAAGGCGAUAGUUCAAAUCUAUCUGCUGCAC
rnacentral:tRNA from 1 species